rnacentral:rRNA from 1 species
GUCGGCAGCGUCAGAUGUGUAUAAGAGACAGCUGUAAAGUGAUCUUGUCAUUUGAUUAAGUACACCGAUUUUUCUUGGUGGAAUAUUGGGGAACCACCCUCAAUCCUUGAACUUUCAGUGAUCGAUAGCGUAAAAGUACCGUGAGGGAAAGGUGAAAAAAGCUCUUUAUAGAGAUGAAAUUCCUGAAACUUGUUGUUAAAAUUCUGUCGAAGUUUUUUUUAACGACGGCGUACCUUUUGUAUAAUGGACCAGCGAGUUUUUAUUUUUGGCAAGCUUAAGCUUUAAAUAAGUGUAGGCGUAGUUAAAUCGAAUGUUAAUGCAUUUUUUAGUCAAAGGUAAAAGACCCGAAACUAAGUGAUCUAAUCAUGAGCAGGUUGAAGAAUUUUCAGUAAUGAGAUUUGGAGGACCGAACCCGUGUAUGUUGCAAAAUACUGGGAUGACUUGUGAUUAGGGGUGAAAGGCCAAUCAAACUUAGAUAUAGCUGGUUUUCCGCGAAAUCUAUUUAAGUAGAGCGUUUUUAUUUUGAUUUAAUGGGGUAGAGCACUCAAUAAGCUAGGGGGGCCUACAGCCUUACCAAACUUAAUGAAACUCCGAAUACGUUAAAUUGUAAAAGCAGACAGACAUUGGAUGCUAAGGUCCUUUGUCGAGAGGGAAACAGCCCAGAUUUACCGAUAAGGUCUUUAAUGAAGCUUAAGUGAAAAAGGUGUCAUUCUACUCAAACAAUCAAUAAGUAGGCUUGGAAGCAGCCAUCUUUGAAAGAAAGCGUAACAGCUCGUUGAUCUAGUUUUUUGGCCCUGAAGAUUUAUAGAGACUAAAAGUUUCAACCGAAUCGUAAAAUUCUAAAUAUUUUUAUUUAGUCUGGUAGCGGAACGUUCUGUAUUUUGUUGAAGCAUUGUUGUCAGAUAGUGUGAAGAAAUCAGAAGUGACUAUGCUGGUAUGAGUAGCGAUAAAUGAUGUGAAAAACGUCAUCGCCGUAAGCCCAAGGUUUUUGAAGCACGGCUAAUCCACUUCAAUGAAAAAUUUGAUUUUUCAACUAAAGACGGCCCCUAAAAAGUUAUGGGCGAAAGCUCUGUUUGAUGGGAAUACUUUUAAGUAUCUUUUAAUGCGUGACAAAAGUUAAAGUUUAUUCUGUUUUUACAGGGUUCAUAAAAUUUUUCAAGAAAUAGCUCAUUAAAAAAUAAAACCGUACUGUAAACCGACACAGGUGGGCCGGUCGAGCAGACUAAGGCGCUUGAGAUAACUUUGUUGAAGGAACUCGGCAAAAUGUCCCCGUAACUUCGGAAUAAGGGGAGACUUUAUUAGGUAACCCUUUUAAAGUCGGCACAGAAUCGGGGGGAGCAACUGUUUAGCAAAAACACAAGUCUCUGCUAAUUUGUAAAAAGAUGUAUAGAGGCUGACGCCUGCCCGGUGCUGCAAGGCGAAGGUACUAUGGUUUUGGCUAUGGUUCUGAACCCCCAGUAAACGGCGGCCGUAACUCUGACGGUCCAAAGGUAGCGAAAUUCCUUGUCGGGUAAGUUCCGACCUGCAUGAAUGGUGUAAUGACUUCCCCGCUGUCUCCAACAAAGGCUCAGUGAAAUUGAAUUGCCCGUGAAGAUGCGGGCAUUAUACAGCUAGACGGAAAGACCCCGUGCACUUUUACUAUAAACAUAUAUUGUAAAUAUUGCUUUUUUGUGCAGGAUAAGUGGUAGCUAUUGAUACCUUCAUGUAAAUGAAUUGUAGAAGCAUCCUUGAGAUACCACUCUUUAAAGUUUUAGUUACUAACUUUUUUAAGGACAUUUUAUGUUUGGUAGUUUAGCUGGGGCGGCUGCCUCCUAAAAAGUAACGGAGGCGUACUAAAGGUAAACUUAAACAAAAACAUUGUUGUUAAGCUCAAUGGCAUAUGUUUGCUUGACUGUAAGAAAGAUAUUUCGAGCAGAGACGAAAGUCGGUCAUAGUGAUCCGGUGGUUUUGUGUGGAAAAGCCAUCGCUCAACAAAUAAAAAGUACGCCGGGGAUAACAGGCUUAUGCCCCCCUAGAGCUCAUAUCGACGGGGGCGUUUGGCACCUCGAUGUCGGCUCAUCACAUCCUGAAGCUGAAGAUGGUUUCAAGGGUUCGGCUGUUCGCCGAUUAAAGUGGUACGUGAGCUGGGUUCAGAACGUCGUGAGACAGUUUGGUCCCUAUCUACUGUAUACGUUUAAAAUUGAGGGGUUUAUUUUCUAGUACGAGAGGACCGAAAAAUGUAAACCUCUGGUGUAUCGGUUGUUUUUUAAGCAGCGCCGAGUAGCUAAGUUUAUUUUAGAUAAUCGCUGAAAGCAUCUAAGCGAGAAACUAUCCCCAAGACCAGUUUUUUAUUUCGUGGAAGAAGACCACGUUGAUAGGCUUGAUGUGUAACUGUAGUAAUAUAAAAGCAUACAAGUACUAAUAAUAAUCAAAUUAUUCUU